rnacentral:rRNA from 1 species
CGGAGAGGGAGCAUGAGAAACGGCUACCACAUCUAAGGAAGGCAGCAGGCGCGUAAAUUACCCAAUCCUGACUCAGGGAGGUAGUGACAAGAAAUAACAACCCGGGGGAUUCACAUCCUUACGGGAUUGCAAUGAGAACAAUUUAAAACACUUAGCGAGGAUCAAUUGGAGGGCAAGUCUGGUGCCAGCAGCCGCGGUAAUUCCAGCUCCAAUAGUGUAUAUUAAAGUGGUUGCAGUUAAAAAGCUCGUAGUUGAACUUCUGGCAGUGUGCAGAUUUGGCUCCGGUCAGUCUGUAUGCUGUCAUCCGUCUGCAAACUUUGUACAACCUUCAGUGGCUUGGCAAAGGGAGUAGACAUUUUACUUUGAAAAAAUUAGAGUGUUUCAAGCAGGUUGUUGCCAGAAUACUUUAGCAUGGAAUAAUGGAAUAGGACUCUUGUCCAUUUGGUUGGUUAUUGGACCGGAGUAAUGAUUAAUAGGGACGGUUGGGGGCAUUAGUAUUUAAUUGUCAGAGGUGAAAUUCAUGGAUUUAUUAAAGACUAACUUAUGCGAAAGCAUUUGCCAAGGAUGUUUUCAUUAAUCAAGAACGAAAGUUAGGGGAUCAAAGACGAUCAGAUACCGUCCUAGUCUUAACUAUAAACGAUGUCGACUCGGGAUUGGAAAGGUUACAAUUAUCCUUUCCAGCACCGUAUGAGAAAUCAUUAAGUCUUUGGAUUCUGGGGGGAGUAUGGUCGCAAGGCUGAAACUUAAAGGAAUUGACGGAAGAGCACCACCAGGCGUGGGACCUGCGGCUUAAUUUGACUCAACACGGGAAAACUUAUUUCAGCAAAACAUGAGUGGGAUUGACAGAUUGAGAGCUCUUUCUUGAUUUUAUGGGGUGUGGUGCAUGGCCGUUCUUAGUUGGUGGAGUGAUUUGUCUGGUUAAUUCCGUUAACGAACGAGACCUUAACCUGCUAACUAGUCAGUGUGUGACCAACGCUCUGUACUUCUUAGAGGGACUAUGGGUAAUAAGCCCAUGGAAGUUUGAGGCAAUAACAGGUCUGUGAUGCCCAUAGAUGUUGAAAGCGGCACGCGCGUCAUACUGUCCCGUAACAGCAAGUUACAUCCUCUCUUGGAAAAGAAGGGGUAAUCUAUAAAACAGGACGUGGUAGGGAUAGAUCUUUGGAAUUAUAGAUCUUGAACGAAGAAUGCCUAGUAAGUGCAAGUCAUCAACUUGAGCUGAUUACGUCCCUGUCCUUUGUACACACCGCCCGUCGCUCCUACCGAUUUCGAGCGAUAUGGUGAACCUCCUGGACCGUGAGACUCCUUGUGGGUCUCGUGGAAAGUUUAGUAAACCUUAUCGCUUAGAGGAAGGAGAAGUCGUAACAAGGUAACC